rnacentral:tRNA from 3 species
GCCGAUGUAGCUCAGUGGUAGAGCAAUGCUUUCGUAAAGCAGAGGUCGUCGGUUCAAUCCCGACCAUCGGCUCCA